CUUCCCCAAAGUCAAAGUGACCACAAAAGAGAAGUGGUUUGAACUGAUUCAGGACAUCAAGGCAGCCGGGACGGCACAACUGAAGACCCUCCAGUGAUGACUGAGGUGGCACUGCAGACCAGGCGUCCUCUUCCCGAGUACAGAAAAGAAGCUGUUACACUGCCGAAUGCAGGCAGCUCCCAGCUGAGGUGGCGGUGAGGCAGAGAUCGACGGGACCUUGGCUUCCUUCCCAAGUCAUUCUCCCUGGUCAGCAGUGACAGCCACUAUCAACGUCAGUGAGCAGCGCCGGGUCUAGGACAGCGUGGACAAACUUUGUCUUCGAAAGGCCAGGGAGUAAUGUUCCAGACCUUGGCCAGGCACCACAUGAAAUGGCUGCUUUAGACUUUAGAGAUACGAUGAACGACAAAUGUCACGGCUCAUCCCAAGUACCGAGGUCUUCUCACACCACCCAGGUGGGUUCCAGGCCUGAGGAGGAAGCAGGAAACGCGGCACAGGGUGACCGAGGACCCGAUCCCCAUCCAUCCACGAGAGCCGGAUGCUGGCUGUGUCCGUCCUGCCCAUCGGAGGGCUCGGGGCAGAGCUGCUGCUUGGGUGCAAACCCCUCACUUUCCUUGGAUGACACUGGCAGCGCGAGAUUUCUCUCAGCUGAGAAGAGCUGUUCACUUGACCCCAGUGGCCAGUUACUCAGUAUUACGUGUUUCUCCUUCUUUCAUUGCAGAAUUCCUCAGGUGAGCAAUUUAUGCCAACUACCUUCAUUUUUAUCCUACCACAGCUUCCACAGCCCUUGCAAAUGGCGUUUCUCUUUACUGAGGUCUCUCUAUCCUCUCUCUGAUUUGUUGCUGAAGAAAAUUUGCUUUUUCUUAUCCCAUUUUUUAUUUUUCAGGUGAUACUCUGCUCCUAGGCUCCAUGAUGACUUCAGGACCCCUGGAACCCUGAGCCACCUUCUUCUCCACAGUCCUUGCCUGCCCUGUCCUUGUGUCUCCGAGGCUGUGUUGGUGCUCUUCUCAGCAAGCUCAAUGUUUUCACGUCAGGACUUCUUACUCCCUCGUUUACACCUCCCUGCUUUCCUCUUACCUAAGGGCUGGUCCAGCCGGUGGUUCUUCUGCAGACGUCCCCAGACAAACCAGCCCUGUCUCUUUCCACCACUCACGCUUUUGUUUUCUCCCCCACCCUGUGUUUAGAUGCCCAGCCCCGUCCGCUUGUCAGCUUUUCCAACAUAGUCUUGCUCAUAGAACCUCUCUCUCUCCCCGUCCCUCUCUCUUCCCUACAUUUGUGCACAUCCCAGACCUCCAUCCCCAACCUUCCGCAUUGUGCAAGGCACUGUCCUUAUCUAAUUUGCACCUCAACCCUCCUCUGAAGCAGUGGUAGAAGUUAUGUUGUAUUGGAAAAGGUCAAAUUAUGCAGGAUGUUGAAAGCCAGGUGAAGGCCCAGGUAGAAUUAGUUUUCAAACAAAGGCAGUUAUGUGAAAAUCAAGAGAGAAGACACAGAAGGAGCCCAUUGGCGGUGCUCAAAUGAUAAUGAUUAUUUAUUAUUUUGAACUUUGCUUGUAUCUUUAUAUCAACUAGAUUCAAAGCUGCUUGAGGGAAUGGGCCAUGGCUGAUUUUUUUUCCAAUUCCUCCUCAUCCUUUCCUCCUUUGAAAAGAUCUGUUUUAUAUGUGGUGGCUAGGAGUAUGUCCUGGGCCCUGUCAGCCUCUGUCAGCCAUGAGGAUGGAGGACCACACGGAGGACUCAAUGGAGGAUCG